rnacentral:ribozyme from 12 species
GCAAUCUAAAGACAAGAGAACAAUUGUAUUUAUGUACAGGAUAUAAGUUUUUUUUUUUUCUGAAAGAAAGAUCGGGAGAAAGAAAAAGAAAACAAUAACCUAUCCUCAAAACUUCACAG